UACGUAGGUGGCAAGCGUUGUCCGGAUUUACUGGGCGUAAAGGAUGCGUAGGUGGAUAUUUAAGUGGGAUGUGAAAUACCCGGGCUCAACUUGGGUGCUGCAUUCCAAACUGGAUAUCUAGAGUGCGGGAGAGGUAAGUGGAAUUCCUAGUGUAGCGGUGAAAUGCGUAGAGAUUAGGAAGAACACCAGUGGCGAAGACGACUUACUGGACUGUAACUGACACUGAGGCAUGAAAGCCGUGGGGAGCAAACAGG
rnacentral:rRNA from 1 species